rnacentral:rRNA from 1 species
UACAGAGGGUGCGAGCGUUAAUCGGAAUUACUGGGCGUAAAGCGCGCGUAGGCGGCUUUGCAAGUCGGGUGUGAAAUCCCCAGGCUUAACCUGGGAACUGCAUUCGAGACUGCAUUGCUAGAGUAUGGGAGAGGGAAGUGGAAUUUCCGGUGUAGCGGUGAAAUGCGUAGAUAUCAGGAGGAACACCGAUGGCGAAGGCAAUCCCCUGGGCCUGCACUGACGCUCAUGCACGAAAGCGUGGGGAGCAAACAGG